AUUAAUUAUCAGGUAGAAACGAAAACCAGCAGGCUCCAACCCUCAUAGGUUAAGAGUUGAGUUGUAUCCCAUACAUACGACAGAUUAAACUCGAAACACACAAACACUUACACAAUGCUAGCUAAUGCUCCCCUAACGCUUCCCCAACGUCCGCUAAUGUUAUAGCAGUCUGGCUCAACAGCCUGCAUGUUCUUCACAAAGAAGGCAACUGAUGCUAUUGAGACAGAUUUCUUUGUGUCAGGUGAGAAGCUUCAGGUGGUAUCCCAUUUUAUGUACCUUGGCAUCGUACUUAGUUCCAACCUCUCCUUUAUAAAGCGGAUGAAAAAGGUAACUCAAAUAACCAAAUUCAACCGAGCUAAUUUCAGAUUCAUACGAAAUUGUUUUGACUACGGAGGUAGCAAAACUGUACUUCAAAUCUAUGAUACUCCCCCACUUAGCAUACUGCUUGACUAGUUGGGCCCAAGCUUGCUGUACAACAUUAAAACCCAUUCAGUUUGUCUAGAAACAGGCUCUCAAAGUGCUUGAUAGGAAGCUCCUGAGUUGGGAAAAUCUUGUGCAAUACACUGACGCAUGUCUGGUAUUCAAGAUCCUAAAUGGCCUGGCUCCCUCUCCACUUAGUACUUUGGUUUAAACAGAAAACCCAAACCAUGACAGCAGAUUCACAAGGUCUGCCAUGAGAGGUAACUGUAUAGUUCCCUUAAGGAAAAGCACCUUUAGUCAAUCUGCUUUCUCUGCUUCCCAUGUUUGGAACACACUGCCAUCAGACACACACAACUGCACUAUCUAUCACACCUUUACAAAACACAUAAAGACAUGGCUAAAGGCCAAUCAGACUUGUGAACAUAAUCCCUAGCUGUGUAUGCCCCAGUACAUCACUGGGGCCAAGCUUCCUGACAACCAGGACCAAUAUACUAGGCAGUGUCAGAGGAAGGCCCAAAUAAUUGUAAAGGACUCCAGUCACCCAAGUCAUAGACUGUUCUCUCUGCUUCCGCACGACAAGCGGUACCGGAGAGCCAAGUCAGGACCAAAAGGCUCCUUAACAGAGCCAAGUCAGGACCAAAAGGCUCCUUAACAGAGCCAAGUCAGGACCAAAAGGCUCCUUAACAGAGCCAAGUCAGGACCAAAAGGCUCCUUAACAGAGCCAAGUCAGGACCAAAAAGGCUCCUUAACAGAGCCAAGUCAGGACCAAAAAGGCUCCUUAACAGAGCCAAGUCAGGUCCAAAAGGCUCCUUAACAGAGCCAAGUCAGGUCCAAAAGGCUCCUUAACAGAGCCAAGUCAGGUCCAAAAUGCUCCUUAACAGAGCCAAGUCAGGACCAAAAGGCUCCCUAACAGAGCCAAGUCAGGUCCAAAAGGCUCCUUAACAGAGCCAAGUCAGGUCCAAAAUGCUCCUUAACAGCUUCUAACCCCCAGCCUGCUGAACAACUUAUCAAAUGGCCACCCAGACCAUUUACAUUGACACUGCUGCUACUCACUGUUUAUUUAUUCAUAGUCACUUUACAAAUGAUCUCGACUACCCUGUACCCCCGCACAUUGACUUGGUAACGGUACCCCCUGUAUAUACCCUCAUUAUUGUUAUGUACAUUUUCUUUUUUUUUGUUCAUUGAUUCAAUUUUUAUUUUACUUUAUUUUAUUUAGUAAAUAUUUUCAUAAUUCUAUUUCUUGAACUGCAUUGUUGGUUAGGGGCUUGUAAGUAAGCAUUUUGCGGUAAGGUCUACAACUACAACUUGUAGUCUUGUAGUCUACAACUACAACUUGUAUGUGAUUUGAUUUGUGUUGCCGCUUUCCAUGUCUGUAGCUUGUGAGGUGUGGAAACACUUGCUUUUAUAUAUUUUGAUUUGUUACUUUUUGUGUUAUGUUGCUCUGCCUGCGUGCUACAUUCUGCUUGCUCUAUGUUGCUCUGCAUGUGCUCACUGUUUGACUGUUUUGUUAUUGUAAUUGUUUUUAAUUACCUGCCCAGGGCCUGCGGUUGAAAAUGAGCCGGCUUGUUAAAAUGGCACUUUCACUGAAACGUUGAUUCAUGUGCACUGUCCCUGUAAAAAUCAACUCAAACUCAAGGUGACUAAGCUGUGAAGUUUGGCCUACCUGGCAGAUGAUCAUCUCCAUCGUAAGCUCGCCAGUCUUCUCUCUCUCUCUUCCUCUCAGGGGGAAACUAGUUAAACCAGAGUCUAUAAACUGUAGCGGUGGAGUUUGAGACGGGCCUCGUUUCUAGACUAAAAAAAGCAUGUGGUACGUUUUCACCAUGAUAAAGAAAUAUCAGAGAGAUGGAUGGAAAGAGAGAGAUGGAGGGAAAGAGAGAUGGAUGGAGGGAAAGAGAGAGAGAUGGAGGGAAAGAGAGAUGGAGGGAAAGAGAGAUGGAUGGAGGGAAAGAGAGAGAUGGAGGGAGGGAAAGAGAGA
ensembl:lncRNA